rnacentral:rRNA from 1 species
CGUAACACGUGAGCAACCUACCGAACUGUGGGGGAGUAGCCGGCCUAACGGCCGAGUAAUACCGCAUACGCUCUCAGAGAGGCAUUUCUUUGGGAGGAAACCUACGGGACAGAUCGAGGGGCUCGCGGCCUAUCAGCUAGUUGGCGAGGUAACGGCUCACCAAGGCAACGACGGGUAGCUGGUCUGAGAGGAUGGCCAGCCACAUUGGGACUGAGACACGGUCCAG